GACGAACGCUGGCGGCGUGCUUAACACAUGCAAGUCGAACGGAAAGGCCCCCUUGUGGGGUACUCGAGUGGCGAACGGGUGAGUAACACGUGAGUAACCUACCCUUGAUUUUGGGAUAACUUCAGGAAACUGGGGCUAAUACCGGAUAGGAGCUCCUGCUGCAUGGUGGGGGUUGGAAAGUUUCGGCGGUUGGGGAUGGACUCGCGGCUUAUCAGCUUGUUGGUGGGGUAGUGGCUCACCAAGGCUUUGACGGGUAGCCGGCCUGAGAGGGUGACCGGCCACAUUGGGACUGAGAUACGGCCCAGACUCCUACGGGAGGCAGCAGUGGGGAAUAUUGCACAAUGGGCGGAAGCCUGAUGCAGCAACGCCGCGUGCGGGAUGACGGCCUUCGGGUUGUAAACCGCUUUCGCCUGUGACGAAGCGUGAGUGACGGUAAUGGGUAAAGAAGCACCGGCUAACUACGUG
rnacentral:rRNA from 1 species